rnacentral:misc_RNA from 1 species
UUAAGUUCAGCGGGUAUCCCUACCUGAUCCGAGGUCAACCUUUAAAAAAUUGGGGUUUGAUGGCAGGCACACACCCGGUACUCCAGAGCGAGAAAAUUACUACGCUUGAAGCCGAAUGGCACCGCCACUGAUUUUGAGGCCCGCCCUGACGGGUGAAGCCCAAUACCAAGCAGAGCUUGAGGGUUGUAAUGACGCUCGAA